AUUCUGCCUUGAAUGCGUUAGUGAUGGGAGCGGCAUCCUUUUGUGGGAACAUGAACAUCUCCAUUGUACUGAAACUUCUCCCGCAAAAGAUACAGCGGACAGCACGGCCCGAA
rnacentral:sRNA from 1 species